AAAAACUAAUUAUGGAGGUGGUGGAACCAAAGUUUACAAAAAUUGUUGAUGGGUUGAAGGGAUCUGAAGGCCCUGUAUUUGAUAAGGAUUGUAACUUUUACAUGGUUGCUCCUGAAGUAACAAAAAAUGACAGUUUUGCAGGCCAGGUUUUGAGCAUCGAUGUUGAAAACAACAAGUCUUCUGUGCUGUGCGAGCCUGCAGUGGGUGGAUUUGGGGGAGUUCCAGCCGGAUGUCAGUGUGACAAGAACAACAUGCUGUGGAUCGCGGACAUGAGACUCGGGCUCAUCACCGUGGAAAAACAGGGAACGUUCACUCAGGUAUGUCAGGAGGAUGAUGCAGGGCAAACAAUGCAGGGCUGCAAUGAUUGUGCUUUUGACUACGAUGGAAAUCUCUGGAUUACGGCCCCUGCAGGGAAAAUUGCACCUCAUCCAUAUGAGAGGUCAAUGGAGGUAGAUUAUGUGUAGAAUUUAUAUAAUUUUAUCCAUACAGAUUAUUUCAUAGAAUAUGAUUUAAAAGUAGCGGUACUAAAGAACUUUAUAUAUUAUUUUACUUAAUACGAAUAUAUACAUAAAUACCCGGUAAUUUGAAAAUUCUAUUGUAAGAUUUUAAUGAAAUACUAUUUUAAAAUUUUCAACAAUUUCAAGAAAUAUUUUGAAUGAAUUUGUUUUUUAAGAAAUAAAAGAAUUUUCCUUUAAUUACUACUUUCAUUUGCCAUAUUAUGUUAAUUGUUUUGAAAAAUUUGUUCUAAAGGAGCCAUAUAUAUCAUAUUGAAGUACCCUUUUGAAUUUUCUGUUCUUGAGGAGCCAUUUGGGUCUGUGUACUGCUACACUAACCAGAAGAAGAUGGUUCGGAUUGACACAGGUCUCAGAUUUCCCAAUGGGAUCGCAGUGUUACACUCCCCUGACGGCAGACCUAGGACCCUUAUUGUGGCGGAGACUCCCACAAAAUCCCUCUGGUCCUACGAAAUCGAAGGCCCGGGAAAAGUCAGAGAUAGGAAACUUUGGGGAAAGUUGCCAGGUGACCUUGAGGGAGGUCCUGAUGGUAUGGACUUUGAUGAGGACAACAACCUGUUGGUAGCUCACUGGGGGUCAGGGUUCCUGGAGGUGUUUGGGUCGGAGGGUGGGAGCCCCCACACCAGGAUCAAGUUGCCCUUUGCCAAAGUCAGUAACCUCCACUUCAAGAAGGGGACGAAGGAAGUGUACGUCACGGAGCAUGACGGCCACGGACUGUGGCGGUUUGAGUGGCAGCGACCUGGAAAACUUCAGUACUGUGACAAUUUGUGAGUGUGAACGGACAGUCACACAGAAGUAUCCAUCGGUCAAACUGUCAAUGACUGUUCAUAGGGUCAGAAUUAGUCUGUGAUUUGGUUAGGUUAUAUUUGAAUGUGCAAUAUCUUGCACAUACCAGUACAUGUACUUACUAUUAAGUAGUCUUCAAUUAAAGCUGUUUUGUGAUUCAGAGAGAUAAAGUAAAUGCUGGUUGUAUGCUAUUAUUAUGGAAUUAUCUGUUUUAAGAAUGUAUUCCUAUUGUGACAUUAUAAGGUCAAAGGUGAAAAAAAAGAUGUAUUUGCUUCUCAGGGCAUUCUAGUCAGCUUUCAUAUUGUCUUGUUUCCAUGACAUUAACCCUCUUUCAGUUGAAUAUCAUUUCAGGAAAAUCAAAAUGUGCCUUAAAUGUACAAUGUUGUCUUAAUAUAGUUAAAUUAAUCAGUGCAGAGAAUUAUACAAACAUAAGUAAUAAGGAAUCAUUCUUUGAAUAUAAUGAGGUGAACAAAUAUGGCGUGAUAAAAUUUAUCAUAAUGCCCCAACCAUAUUUGAUCACCUUAUAAUACUCGAAGAAUGAUUCCUUAUUCCUUAAAUUAGCCAUAUGAUCUUGUUUUAAUGUACAUGUACAUGCAAAUCUAAACUUUUUAAGGAUAUUUUUGAAUGAAAAACUUUUUUUUAAUGAUAAGCUAUGAUAAUUUUUACCUCCAAUGCUUUCUAUGCUAUAGUCCUUUUUGAUGGUGCUUUAUCAAGUUAUGAUUGUUGAUAAUUGUUUUAUGAUUUAUUGUGGAAUCAUCAAUGUUUGGGAGGACCAAUGUUCUGGGCUUACGUGGAUAACCCUUGCCCACGAAUUUAUAUUCCCACUAUGCAAGCAUUUGUGUAGUAUUCAUUAAAAUUGCCUUGAUAACACUAUCAACGAAAUUAAGUCCCAACAAACCAGGAAAAUUUACCUACGAACGAACAUUGGCCCCAACAAAUGAAAAUGAUUCCACAGUAUUUUUACAUAUAUAAGUAUAUUUAAACAGAAUAUAUAUUGAUGGUUGAAUCAUUUAUUUUAAUAAUACAUAUAUAUUCUUAUUUAUAUAUUUUUAAUUAAAGAAAUAUAUAAGAAAC
rnacentral:misc_RNA from 1 species